rnacentral:rRNA from 1 species
GUCCUAGCCGUAAACGCUGUCAGCUAGAUAUGGCGCAAACUUCGGGUUUACGCCGUAUCGAAACGAAGGUGCAAGCUGACCACCUGGGAAGUAUAGUCGCAAGGCUGAAACUUAAAGGAAUUGGCGGGGGAGCACUACAAGGGGUGCGGCGUGCGGUUUAAUUGAAUUCAACGCCGGAAAUCUCACCAGGAGCGACGGCAGGAAGAAGGCCAGUCUAAAGGGCUUGCCUGACGAGCCGAGAGGUAUUGCAUGGCCGCCGU